AAAUUGAAGAGUUUGAUCAUGGCUCAGAUUGAACGCUGGCGGCAGGCCUAACACAUGCAAGUCGAACGGUAACAGGAAGCAGCUUGCUGCUUUGCUGACGAGUGGCGGACGGGUGAGUAAUGUCUGGGAAACUGCCCGAUGGAGGGGGAUAACUACUGGAAACGGUAGCUAAUACCGCAUAACGUCGCAAGACCAAAGAGGGGGACCUUAGGGCCUCUUGCCAUCGGAUGUGCCCAGAUGGGAUUAGCUAGUAGGUGGGGUAAAGGCUCACCUAGGCGACGAUCCCUAGCUGGUCUGAGAGGAUGACCAGCCACACUGGAACUGAGACACGGUCCAGACUCCUACGGGAGGCAGCAGUGGGGAAUAUUGCACAAUGGGCGCAAGCCUGAUGCAGCCAUGCCGCGUGUAUGAAGAAGGCCUUCGGGUUGUAAAGUACUUUCAGCGGGGAGGAAGGGAGUAAAGUUAAUACCUUUGCUCAUUGACGUUACCCGCAGAAGAAGCACCGGCUAACUCCGUGCCAGCAGCCGCGGUAAUACGGAGGGUGCAAGCGUUAAUCGGAAUUACUGGGCGUAAAGCGCACGCAGGCGGUUUGUUAAGUCAGAUGUGAAAUCCCCGGGCUCAACCUGGGAACUGCAUCUGAUACUGGCAAGCUUGAGUCUCGUAGAGGGGGGUAGAAUUCCAGGUGUAGCGGUGAAAUGCGUAGAGAUCUGGAGGAAUACCGGUGGCGAAGGCGGCCCCCUGGACGAAGACUGACGCUCAGGUGCGAAAGCGUGGGGAGCAAACAGGAUUAGAUACCCUGGUAGUCCACGCCGUAAACGAUGUCGACUUGGAGGUUGUGCCCUUGAGGCGUGGCUUCCGGAGCUAACGCGUUAAGUCGACCGCCUGGGGAGUACGGCCGCAAGGUUAAAACUCAAAUGAAUUGACGGGGGCCCGCACAAGCGGUGGAGCAUGUGGUUUAAUUCGAUGCAACGCGAAGAACCUUACCUGGUCUUGACAUCCACGGAAGUUUUCAGAGAUGAGAAUGUGCCUUCGGGAACCGUGAGACAGGUGCUGCAUGGCUGUCGUCAGCUCGUGUUGUGAAAUGUUGGGUUAAGUCCCGCAACGAGCGCAACCCUUAUCCUUUGUUGCCAGCGGUCCGGCCGGGAACUCAAAGGAGACUGCCAGUGAUAAACUGGAGGAAGGUGGGGAUGACGUCAAGUCAUCAUGGCCCUUACGACCAGGGCUACACACGUGCUACAAUGGCGCAUACAAAGAGAAGCGACCUCGCGAGAGCAAGCGGACCUCAUAAAGUGCGUCGUAGUCCGGAUUGGAGUCUGCAACUCGACUCCAUGAAGUCGGAAUCGCUAGUAAUCGUGGAUCAGAAUGCCACGGUGAAUACGUUCCCGGGCCUUGUACACACCGCCCGUCACACCAUGGGAGUGGGUUGCAAAAGAAGUAGGUAGCUUAACCUUCGGGAGGGCGCUUACCACUUUGUGAUUCAUGACUGGGGUGAAGUCGUAACAAGGUAACCGUAGGGGAACCUGCGGUUGGAUCACCUCCUUACCUUAAAGAAGC
rnacentral:rRNA from 2 species